UGAACCAACUCCCGAGUCUCUAGGACGUUCCUAAAAAAAAUUUGAUUUUUUCCAUAGGAAUGCAUGGGUCAGGGUUAGGGUUAGGGUUGGAGCUAGGGUUAGGGUUAGGGUUAUGGUUGGGCUUGGAGCUAGGAUUUUUCUGAGUGCAAUGAACCAACUCCCGAGUCUCUAGGACGUUCCUAAAAAAAUUUGAUUUUUUCCCAUAGGAAUGCAUGGGUUAGGGUUAGGGUUAGGGUUGGAGCUAGGGUUAGGGUUAGGGUUAGGGUUGGAGUUAGGGUUAGUGUUGGAGCUAGGGUUAUGAUUGGGCUUGGAGCUAGGAUCUUUCUGAGUGCAAUGAACCAACUCCCGAGUCUCUAGGACAUUCCUAAAAAAAUUUGAUUUUUUCCCAUAGGAAUGCAUGGGUUAGGGUUAGGGUUAGGGUUAGGGUUGGAGCUAGGGUUAGGGUUAGGGUUAGGGUUGGAGUUAGGGUUAGUGUUGGAGCUAGGGUUAGGGUUGGGCUUGGAGCUAGGAUUUUUCUGAGUGCAAUGAACCAACUCCCGAGUCUCUAGGACGUUCCUAAAAAAAUUUGAUUUUUUCCCAUAGGAAUGCAUGGGUUAGGGUUAGGGUUAAGGUUGGAGCUAGGGUUAGGGUUAGGGUUAGGGUUGGAGUUAGGGUUAGUGUUGGAGCUAGGGUUAUGGUU